CCGGGCGCGCCUGACACUAAUAGCUCGCGGCUCAGGUACGAGCGGGCGCCGCGUUUGACUCCAUUCAAUUCACAACCGGCCGCGCUUGCAGGUGUCGCCUUUUGAAACUGCCAUUCAGGCAGCCGCUGUUCACUUCUCGCUGCGCUGCGGGUUUUGUGGAAGCGCAAGAAUGGCGCUGAUUAUUCCCGUGCCCACGGGCUGCCCCCACCCCCGCCGGACGCGAGCCUUCCCUCCGCCAAAAGAGAAGUUUAAUUAGUUCUGGGGCCGCCGACAGCCAGCGCGGCCGACAAAGCCCGGCUCCCCAGGUAACCCCGGGGUUCCUGCGGCCCCGGGAGGGGGCGCCCCGCGCCUGAGCACUGGCCUCUGGCCGUGCGCUGCCUCCCGCGCCGCCGCCGUCCGCCCACCUGCCCCCCGGGCCGGCUCUCCAGCUGGCCGAAGGCUCGCUCGGUGGACUUGAGUAGCCUUGGCCAGCGGCGCCCGCGGAUUCCGGACGCGAGCAGUUUUAGGGCGCCUGCGAUGUCUUCUCGCCUCUCUGUCCCCAUUACCAGCCGGGGAGAUGGAAACUUGGUUGGCAAGUCAGGUGGUCCUAACUGUCUUGCGAGGGGGUGUCCUCUCCAUGACAUGUCAUCCCCUCACCCCAUUUCGGGGAAAUAUCGGGACGAUGUUUUGAGGAAACACCAGAGACACUUUCCCCUUUAUCCACCUUUGCGUCUCAGCGCCACGUGCGCUAAAAGGGCGCAAAGUUGCCCUGGGAGAUGGCGAAUGGCUGCCUCGCCUCCACGGCCAGUGACCUUCGCAGCAGCGCCUCCGGCGCCCGAGCUGGCCCCGAAUACGCAGGUCUGCGGACAGCCUCGGCCUGGGUCGCAUACUCUAGUUCACCGGAGCCACAGAUGGGCCUGAGGCCUCUCCCCAGCGCCAGUUACUUCCGACCCAGAGGAAACCAAGGAAGACCUUACCCUCAAGUAGGUAGCCUCGUGGGCCCAUCUGCCCCUCAAGACCCGGCAAGCACAGAAUUGGCUUCUAUAAAGGAACACCUGGGAAUGCUUUUUCCUUUGGGGAGGAGAUUGUUAACGGAGUUUACUAUCUAAGUCGGUCCUUAAGCCUUCACGGGGCCAAAAUUCUAAUAAAGAAAAAUAGUACCGCAAGACAACCCAAACACCACUGCCAGGAUGCUAAGCAAGACAGUUAAAAAAAAAAAAAAAAAAGACAGUGAUUUUCAGAGCCAACUAGAAAAAGAGAAUGAGCAGAUAGAAAUCUCAGGCAUGUCUGUAGGAAGCCUCCAGAUACUCCCAAAAGUCUCAGGGGUUGUCUGCCUUGCUUCAUUAUCUAAUGCUAUCUGGAAACGUCUUCCUUCUGCAGCUCCACCAUCAUCAUCAUUAUUUUUACAUGUCACCUCUGAUUAAAAUUAACCUCUGAAUAUGACUGAAGGCUUUUUUUUUAAAGUAAGAGAAACUGGAUAAGGAAUGGUGAAGAGGAUGAAGGAGGCGGUGUGUCUGAAAAAGAAUCGUUUGAGAGAAUGAAGGGGAAGGAAUAGAUUCCUUGCAAGGUGAAAGAAAGCCUUUCCCAUCUGAAAAACAAAUAAACAAAAAAUUACCACUGUUUUAUCAUCACGGUCACAACUAAACUUUUCGAAUGAGUUACCCAACGGAGGAGGUUUCCAUUGCCUCACCUUUGCUUGGUCCUCAGCACACUGCAUCUGGCCCACGCUCACUGGGGAACUCUCACUCAUUUAGUCAUCUUCACCAGGAACUUUCAUGGCCCCCAGUUUAAGGACGCUUUUUUACCUCAUCAUACCUAAACCUUCAGUAAACAGGCCUGCCAUCCAUCCCGAUACCAACAGCAGAAUCCUCAGUACCAUCUUUUGUUUCUCUGUCUCCUCCAAGCCCACAGUCAAUAAGACACCAGGCCCUAAAAUUCUGUUUGCAAACCAUUUCUCCAAUCUGCUCAACCACUACCUAGUUCAAGUCUUCAUAAUCUCUCAGCUGUUCUUCUGCAGUUUUCUGAGCAGACUCCCUGCUUUUAAUCUUGCUUUACUUCAAUCUAUUUUCCAAUCCUGCAGCUCCUGUAUCCUUUCUAAGUGGCAGACUUGAUCGUGCUACCUCCAGCUUCGAACCCUUCCCUGAUUAAUUACAUAUGAAUUAUAAACAUGGGCUACUAUACUAACUGAUUACAUACAUCGUAAAGAAUCAGACCGACAGAUUUUAAAAGAACGAGAUACCACUUCCCUGGUGGUCCAGUGGUUACAAAUCUGUCUUGCAAUGCAGGAGAGACAGGUUAGAUCCCUGGUCUGGGAAGAUCCCACAUGCCUCAGAA
ensembl:lincRNA